rnacentral:rRNA from 1 species
ACACGUCUACAUUAGAUACCCGGGUAGUCCCAGCCGUAAACUAUGCGCGUUAGGUGUAUCGGUGACCACGAGUCACCGAGGUGCCGAAGGGAAACCGUGAAACGUGCCGCCUGGGAAGUACGGUCGCAAGGCUGAAACUUAAAGGAGUUGGCGGGGGAGCACCACAACGGGUGGAGCCUGCGGUUUAAUUGGACUCAACGCCGGGAAGCUCACCGGAUAAGACAGCGGAAUGAUUGCCGGGCUGAAGACUCUGCAUGACUAGCUG